UUGGAUGAUUCGGUGAGGUCUUCGGACCGGUGCUUCGUGUUGAUCCGUUGCGGAUUGGCUGUUGCGUUGGAAAGUUGGCCGAACCCAACCAUCUAGAGGAAGUAAAAGUCGUAACAAGGUUUCCGUAGGUGAACCUGCGGAAGGAUCAUUAC
rnacentral:rRNA from 14 species